AAGAAGUCUAUUUCUGGAUCCGUAAGGCCGUACAACCGUUCGAAAACACCGAGACUCCGGUGGACGCCCGAUCUCCAUCUUCGCUUUGUUCAUGCAAUUGAAAGGCUAGGAGGACAAGAGAGAGCAACACCCAAGUUGGUACAUCAAUUGAUGAACAUCAAAGGCCUUAGCAUAGCUCAUGUGAAGAGUCAUCUACAGAUGUAUAGAAGCAAGAAGAUUGAUGACCCAAAUCAAGGUAAGUAAAAGCUUAAUUCAUUCAAUCUAUAGAUUUUAGUGAUGUUCUUCAAGGUUUAUGAAAGUGUAUAUGUAUUGCAGCUAUGCCGGAUCGAGGGUUUCGCUUUGAAGGUGGAGAUCAGCACCAUAUAUACAAAUUCAGCCAUCUCCCCAUGCGCC